CUCGCCCCCAUUGGGGGCGGGACGGUGGGCGGUGUGAGGAGCUGGGGCCAUUUUAGGCUCCAAGCUCGUUCAGCUGCUGCCGUGGGGGCGAUGAGCUGCUCUUGGGUUAAUGGGAUGGAAUGAGGAACACAGGCGGCUGCAGCACCAGGAGGAACCUUUAGGGCUCUUGUUGUUUCUUUGGGCAUCCCGUGUGAGUGAUGGGGGUCGUUGUGGAGGAGGGUCCCCCCCCGCUGUGGGGCUCACGGGGUCAGCUCUGAAAUGCAGGGCUGCUCUCAUAGCACUGCGAUGGGACACAGAGUGCUGUCGUUGGUGCUUUUCCCUUGAGAAAGCUUCAUGGAGGGAGCCCUGUUCUGCUGGGAAAGCAGCACAUGGUGAGAAGGGUCGGCUCGUUAUCCAAUAGAGCCCACAUUGCUUUGGUUCCAGGAUGAAGGCUCAGCCUGUUCCGUGGAACCAAACCCCCAGUAACUGAUAACAAUCAAGAAUUGAUAACCAUCAGCAGGUAUCCUUUAUUAUAUUACAAAAGAGAACAGUGUUAACACCCAAACCAGUUCUCUACCUCUGCUUCUGCAUGCGUAUUUAUAUUUUCAAAGGCAUUACAUAUUUAUUAGAAUUCCACAAACCCUGAUACAUGGUCGUACCGUUUCCCAAAAUGUCCAUAUCUUUCCAGGAUCUCCGUCUCCACCCAUUUUCUUCCCUUAUAUGGUUUGUUUCUUCCAGCUGUACUGCAUUUUGAGGUCAUGCAUCUUCUGUUCAGUGGCCCCUCAGGCAGCUUUGGCUCACAGAAAUGCAGUGUUCUCACUCAAUACUGGCUUGUCUCAUUCCUGCUUUGGAUCUCCACGCUUGCUUUUAGUUAUCACAGUUUUGGUAUCCUGUGCAAUCACAGGGAGAGGA